rnacentral:rRNA from 1 species
GAUGAACGCUGGCGGCGUGCCUAAUACAUGCAAGUCGAGCGAACAGACGAGGAGCUUGCUCCUCUGACGUUAGCGGCGGACGGGUGAGUAACACGUGGAUAACCUACCUAUAAGACUGGGAUAACUUCGGGAAACCGGAGCUAAUACCGGAUAAUAUAUUGAACCGCAUGGUUCAAUAGUGAAAGACGGUUUUGCUGUCACUUAUAGAUGGAUCCGCGCCGCAUUAGCUAGUUGGUAAGGUAACGGCUUACCAAGGCAACGAUGCGUAGCCGACCUGAGAGGGUGAUCGGCCACACUGGAACUGAGACACGGUCCAGACUCCUACGGGAGGCAGCAGUAGGGAAUCUUCCGCAAUGGGCGAAAGCCUGACGGAGCAACGCCGCGUGAGUGAUGAAGGUCUUCGGAUCGUAAAACUCUGUUAUUAGGGAAGAACAAAUGUGUAAGUAACUAUGCACGUCUUGACGGUACCUAAUAAGAAAGCCACGGCUAACUACGUG